GAAACUCUGCAGCUUUCGUGAUCGGGUAGCACACAGGCCGAGCCAACACUUCACAAAGGGGAGCUUGGUGAAGCGACGUGGAUGUGCAAGCCUGGCAACAGGUACGACAGAAGCGUCCAGCCGGCACCCACCUGCUUACGCAGGUUCGGACCUACUUCCCACACGAGGCUGCGGAGUUUGC
rnacentral:other from 1 species